rnacentral:rRNA from 1 species
AUUGAACGCUGGCGGCAGGCCUAACACAUGCAAGUCGAGCGGAUGAAGGGAGCUUGCUCCUGGAUUCAGCGGCGGACGGGUGAGUAAUGCCUAGGAAUCUGCCUGGUAGUGGGGGAUAACGUCCGGAAACGGGCGCUAAUACCGCAUACGUCCUGAGGGAGAAAGUGGGGGAUCUUCGGACCUCACGCUAUCAGAUGAGCCUAGGUCGGAUUAGCUAGUUGGUGGGGUAAAGGCCUACCAAGGCGACGAUCCGUAACUGGUCUGAGAGGAUGAUCAGUCACACUGGAACUGAGACGCGGUCCAGACUCCUACGGGAGGCAGCAGUGGGGAAUAUUGGACAAUAGGCGGAAGCCUGAUCCAGCCAUGCCGCGUGUGUGAAGAAGGUCUUCGGAUUGUAAAGCACUUUAAGUUGGGAGGAAGGGCAGUAAGUUAAUACCUUGCUGUUUUGACGUUACCAACAGAAUAAGCACCGGCUAACUUCGUG